rnacentral:rRNA from 1 species
UACAGAGGUGGCAAGCGUUGUUCGGAAUUACUGGGCGUAAAGGGCGCGUAGGCGGCCUCGCAAGUCCCGUGUGAAAUCCCUCGGCUCAACUGAGGAAUGGCACGGGAAACUGCGGGGCUUGAGUUCGGGAGAGGGAAGCGGAAUUCCGGGUGUAGCGGUGAAAUGCGUAGAUAUCCGGAGGAACACCGGUGGCGAAGGCGGCUUCUUGGACCGAUACUGACGCUGAGGCGCGAAAGCGUGGGGAGCAAACAGG